rnacentral:lncRNA from 10 species
GUUGCUGUAGGUUGAAUUAUGUUGCUCAAAAAGACAUCUUGAAGUCUAAACCCUGGUACCUGUAAGUGUGACCUUAUCUGGAAAUAGGAUCUUUGCAGAUGUAAUCAAGUUAAGAUGAGGCAUACUGGAUUUGGGUGGAUACUAGAUCCACUAACUUGUGUCCUUUAUAAGAAAAGAGACACACAGAGAAGAAGGCCAUGUAAAGACAGAGGCAGAGAUGGAGUGAUGCAGCUGCAAACCAGGGAAACAGAAGCUAGGAAGAGGUAAGGAAGGAUUCCUCCCUGGAGCCUUCAGAGGAAGCAUGGCCCCACCCACAUCUUGAUUUCAGCUUGGCCAUGUACCUCCUAUCGCCACAGGGCAUUGCCUUGAAGAGGCUCCAUUCCAGUGAGACACACCUGGGUUGAAAUCGCAGCUCAGAACUUCACAGUUGUGUGAUCUUAGCCAGGUUCCAUUUCCUUCAGAGCUUGAAUUUUCUCAUCUUUGAAACAAAGUGCCUCUGCUUUCGCCG